UACGUAGGGGGCGAGCGUUGUCCGGAAUCAUUGGGCGUAAAGCGCGUGUAGGCGGCUUGGUAAGUCCGGUGUGAAACCUUGGGGCUCAACCCCAAGCCUGCACUGGAUACUGCCUCGCUUGAGUCCGGGAGGGGAGAGCGGAAUUCCUAGUGUAGCGGUGAAAUGCGCAGAUAUUAGGAAGAACACCCGUGGCUAAGGCGGUUCUCUAGUACGGUACUGACGCUGAGACGCGAAAGCGUGGGGAGCAAACAGG
rnacentral:rRNA from 1 species